rnacentral:rRNA from 1 species
CGUGAGUGAAGAAGGCCUUCGGGUUGUAAAGCUCUUUCAGCUGGAACGAAACGGUGCGCUCUAACAUAGCGUGCUAAUGACGGUACCAGCAGAAGAAGCACCGGCUAACUACGUGCCAGCAGCCGCGGUAAUACGUAGGGUGCGAGCGUUAAUCGGAAUUACUGGGCGUAAAGCGUGCGCAGGCGGAUUGUUAAGCAAGAUGUGAAAUCCCCGGGCUUAACCUGGGAAUGGCAUUUUGAACUGGCAGUCUAGAGUGCGUCAGAGGGGGGUGGAAUUCCACGUGUAGCAGUGAAAUGCGUAGAGAUGUGGAGGAACACCGAUGGCGAAGGCAGCCCCCUGGGAUGACACUGACGCUCAUGUACGAAAGCGUGGGUAGCAAACAGGAUUAGAUACCCUGGUAGUCCACGCCCUAAACGAUGUCAACUGGUUGUUGGGGGAGUGAAAUCCCUUAGUAACGAAGCUAACGCGUGAAGUUGACCGCCUGGGGAGUACGGUCGCAAGAUUA